GGCCCGGUAGCUCAGUUGCAUAGAGCAGCGCACUCCUAACGCGAAGGUCGGCGGUUGGAAUCCGCCCCGGGCCACCA
rnacentral:tRNA from 1 species